CACGUAGGGGGCAAGCGUUGUCCGGAUUUAUUGGGCGUAAAGAGCUCGUAGGUGGUUCGGUAAGUCGGGUGUGAAAACUCUGGGCUCAACUCAGAGACGCCACCCGAUACUGCUGUGACUUGAGUCUGGUAGGGGAGUGUGGAAUUCCCAGUGUAGCGGUGAAAUGCGCAGAUAUUGGGAGGAACACCAGUGGCGAAGGCGGCACUCUGGGCCAGUACUGACACUGAGACGCGAAAGCGUGGGGAGCGAACAGG
rnacentral:rRNA from 1 species